GUUGAGAUAGCUCAGUAGGUAGAGCAAAGGACUGAAGAUCCUUGUGUCACCAGUUCAAGUCUGGUUCUCAACA
rfam:Eimeria maxima Weybridge genomic scaffold, Emw_scaff527